UACGAAGGGGGCUAGCGUUGCUCGGAAUCACUGGGCGUAAAGCGCACGUAGGCGGAUUGUUAAGUCAGGGGUGAAAUCCUGGAGCUCAACUCCAGAACUGCCUUUGAUACUGGGGAUCUCGAGUCCGGAAGAGGUGAGUGGAACUCCGAGUGUAGAGGUGAAAUUCGUAGAUAUUCGGAAGAACACCGGUGGCGAAGGCGGCGACCUGGUCCGAUACUGACGCUGAGGCGCGAAAGCGUGGGGAGCAAACAGG
rnacentral:rRNA from 1 species